GCACGGGUGAGUAACACGUAUCCAACCUGCCGAUAACUCGGGGAUAGCCUUUCGAAAGAAAGAUUAAUACCCGAUAGUAUAAUUAGACCGCAUGGUCUUAUUAUUAAAGAAUUUCGGUUAUCGAUGGGGAUGCGUUCCAUUAGGCAGUUGGUGAGGUAACGGCUCACCAAACCUUCGAUGGAUAGGGGUUCUGAGAGGAAGGUCCCCCACAUUGGAACUGAGACACGGUCCAAACUCCUACGGGAGGCAGCAGUGAGGAAUAUUGGUCAAUGGGCGCAGGCCUGAACCAGCCAAGUAGCGUGAAGGAUGACUGCCCUAUGGGUUGUAAACUUCUUUUAUAUGGGAAUAAAGUUUUCCACGUGUGGAAUUUUGUAUGUACCAUAUGAAUAAGGAUCGGCUAACUCCGUGCCAGCAGCCGCGGUAAUACGGAGGAUCCGAGCGUUAUCCGGAUUUAUUGGGUUUAAAGGGAGCGUAGGUGGACAGUUAAGUCAGUUGUGAAAGUUUGCGGCUCAACCGUAAAAUUGCAGUUGAUACUGGCUGUCUUGAGUACAGUAGAGGUGGGCGGAAUUCGUGGUGUAGCGGUGAGAUGCUUAGAUAUCACGAAGAACUCCGAUUGCGAAGGCAGCU
rnacentral:rRNA from 1 species